GAUGAACGCUGGCGGCGUGCCUAAUACAUGCAAGUCGAGCGAAUGGAUUAAGAGCUUGCUCUUAUGAAGUUAGCGGCGGACGGGUGAGUAACACGUGGGUAACCUGCCCAUAAGACAGGGAUAACUCCGGGAAACCGGGGCUAAUACCGGAUAACAUUUUGAACCGCAUGGUUCGAAAUUGAAAGGCGGCUUCGGCUGUCACUUAUGGAUGGACCCGCGUCGCAUUAGCUAGUUGGUGAGGUAACGGCUCACCAAGGCAACGAUGCGUAGCCGACCUGAGAGGGUGAUCGGCCACACUGGGACUGAGACACGGCCCAGACUCCGACGGGAAGCAGCAGUAGGGAAUCGUCCGCAAUGGACGAAAGUCUGACGGAGCAACGCCGCGUGAGUGAUGAAGGCUUUCGGGUCGUAAAACUCUGUUGUUAGGGAAGAACAAGUGCUAGUUGAAUAAGCUGGCACCUUGACGGUACCUAACCAGAAAGCCACGGCUAACUACGUGCCAGCCGCCGCAGUAA
rnacentral:rRNA from 1 species